AUGAUGAGGGAAACUUGGUUCUGUUCUAACACUUCCACCAUUCCAGAGUUGCGUUCAUGGGCUUAUAAUUUCAUCCACUAUCAACAAAACUUGGUUCAAAACCAAACAGGAAGACGGUGUUUAGCUCCUAGGGUUGCGUUGGCGAUGGCAAUGGAUUCAGGAGGCAAGUGUCACUAUAGCAGAGUCGGAGUCGCCGUGUUGGUACAACCGUUGACAAAAAUAGCUUCAACCAUAGAUGAAAAAUGCUUCAACCGGCUCCAACCAUCCAUGUCCAAACCGGUGCCGCCAGGUGCUGCGACCGUCGGCAUGAGACCUGCACCAUGUUGCAACCAUUUGGGCAUGGAGCUGGAACCAGUGACGUGA
rnacentral:rRNA from 1 species